AAAAUGAAAACGAGAAGAAAAGCCCAAGGAAAUGAAAGAAAAUCAUCAGAGAGAGAAAUGAAAUGGCGUCUGCUUCCUUCUCCCAUUUCUCUACUUUCAGAGGUCCCGAAAAAAUCCCCAAUUCCAAAACUCUAAUUUCCAGCUCUAGAUCUCAUUCAUAUCCGUUGCUGGUCUCAUCUCCCUUCGCUCACUUUCGAUCUCAUCAUCAUCAUCAGAUCUCUAGAAGCUUAUCUGCAUCGGUCUCCACGCAGCAGCAGAUCCGCACGAGCUCGGACGAUCUUGUUUCUUCGAUUCUUUCCAAGUAGAGUUGGCUACAGAAAGUUCAGAUGAGAAUGCAAACAAGGAGCGAUCAGAGAGGGUUUUCCAGAUGACUGAAAUUGAUGAUAUGCAGGCCCCUCGUGACCUUUUGCUUGCACAACUUUUAUUAAGGUUUGAUUCAUCAUCCUGAGUUGUUUGUAGUUUUUUUGACAACUUAAAUAUCUAAACAUGUUUGUUGACACUUAAAUAUCUAAAUAGUUUUGUUGACAACUUUUAUAUAGGAUUGCAACUACUAUCAUGUUGAUCAUAUAGUUGUCUUUAGUUGUCUACAUAGUACAUUGCAUUUACACAUGGGCAUUGUGUUGGAUUUAUCUAUUGUACUACAUCUCAUGGCAUGGAUGCCUCUUUUAUGCAUGCGCUCAUUUUACUAAUUAAUGUUCCAAAUGGGGAUCAUCAUCAUUUAAGACUCAUCCAACUAUGAACAUGUUGUGGUCUGAUAAUUAAGCUAGUUGUCUCAUUUACUGGGUCAUACAUGCCUCAUUCAAUGUCCUGCACAAAACAACCCAAAAACUAAAAAUAAAAAUU